UGGGGAAUAUUGCACAAUGGGGGAAACCCUGAUGCAGCGACGCCGCGUGAGCGAAGAAGGUUUUCGAAUCGUAAAGCUCUGUCCUAUGGGAAGAUAAUGACGGUACCAUAGGAGGAAGCCCCGGCUAACUACGUGCAAGCAGCCGCGGUAAUACGUAGGGGGCAAGCGUUGUCCGGAAUCACUGGGCGUAAAGGGUUCGCAGGCGGAAAUGCAAGUCAGUUGUGAAAGGCAGAGGCUCAACCUCUGUAAGCAAUUGAAACUGUAUUUCUUGAGAUGUGGAGAGGCAAGUGGAAUUCCUAGUGUAGCGGUGAAAUGCGUAGAUAUUAGGAAGAAUACCGGUGGCGAAGGCGACUUGCUGGACACAAACUGACGCUGAGGAACGAAAGCGUGGGUAGCAAACAGG
rnacentral:rRNA from 1 species